CAAUAGCGUAUAUUAAAGUUGUUGCGGUAAAAAAGCUCGUAGUUGGAUUUCUACCGAAGAUAGCCGGUCGGGUCUUCGACCUUGUAUCUGGUUUUGUCUUUGGUAUCCUCAUAGGGAACGUUUCUGCGCUUUAUUGCGUGGUGCGGUAUCUAUGACUUUUACUUUGAGGAAAUUAGAGUGUUCACGGCAGGCAAACGCCUUGAAUAUAUUAGCAUGGAAUAAUAACAUAGGAUCUUCGUCCUAUUUUGUUGGUUUCUAGGGCUAAGAUAAUGAUUAAUAGGGAUAAUUGGGGGCAUCUGUAUCAACGCGUCAGAGGUGGAAUUCUUGGAUUGCGUUGCGACAAACUACUGCGAAAGCAUUUGCCAAGGAUGUUUUCAUUGG
rnacentral:rRNA from 1 species